rnacentral:lncRNA from 1 species
UGCUGGGAUUACAAGCGUGAGCCACCGCGCCUGGCGAAUAUAACUAGUUAUGUUCUAUUGUUUAUUCAUUCAUGUUCUGAUAUUAACAUGUAGUCCUAACAUUGUAGUCCUUAGGAAAUUAGAACUAAGAUUUUCAGUUUACUUGCUUGGGAGGAUCAGCGACAUUUCGGUGCAGGAGCACGGAAUACUGAUACAGAAUAAAAUACUUGGUCAGUGGAAUCUCUUCAACAAAAUAGAAGAGAAGCAGUCAUGGAGUGAAGAAAUAAAUCAUCUUUGUUUCUACUCAUCUGUCACUUAUGCAAUACAUACAAUAUGUAAAAAGGAAAAAUCCCUGUGUAAUAGCCUAAGGCAACCAGCAGCUUCCACGUCGGUUGGAUAUUAAUAAAUUUUUUUCUUUACUGUAAAAUAUA